rnacentral:lncRNA from 1 species
GAAUUCCCAGUGCAGGGAAUUUCUAGUCCCACCACUAAUUAUGUUUGUAUACUGAUCUACAGCUGAGAAAUUUUGAGAUAGUCUAAACCAUAGUGUCUUUAUUCAAUUUUCCCCUGAUAGAUAGAAGAUAGAAACUUAUAUUAAAUAUAAACACCAGGUAUCUUGCAAUACUCCCAACAGCACCAUAUUGAACUGUAAGAGAUAAUACCAUCAUCUCAACCUUCUAUUUAUCAAUUUUAAAAACCUAAGCUUUGAAAAAUGUGCUAUAAUUCUUUGGUAAUUGUGUAACGGUAUAACUAGUUACAUAAUAACUAUUUUUUUUUUCCUCUUAUUUCCAAUGGCUGUGUUGAAAAAUCAAUGCUCUCUUCUUUUGCCUUGCUCUUUUCACUUCCCACCUUUUUUCCUCCUUCACUUCUUUCCUCUGUAUUCAGGUAUGGCUGAAUUUUAGGUCCGAAACUUCUUUCAGGCUUUGUGUACUCGUUGAUCCAUCAGAACCUGGAGAGUCUGAGGAAGCUAGACUUUGGGUGUGCUUAUCCCUAGCACAGCAGCUACAUUGCUGCAGAUUUCAGGCAGCCUCACAGAACUCAAAGUUAGCCCUAAGUUCUUCUACUGGAGGAACCACUAUCCUAUGAAGUGGUAAACAUGGCAAAGACAGGGAACACAAUUUAGAGAUUGGCUUGGUGUCAACAAGAUUUCUUAAUGACACGGUUUCCAUAAUAGCAAAAAUAUGAUCCCACCUUUUUAUUCAUUUAUAUGUUCAUUCCCUUAUUUACGUUUCCUUAUAUAUGUUCAUUCCCUUAUUUAAACACAUUUAUUAAAUUCUAUGUUGUCUGUGGAUAUACUGAUGAGCAAAAUAGAUGAGGUGCCUGCUCUCAAAAAGUACACAGUCUGAUUAGGAGAGAGUCAUUUAUCAAAUAAAUAGCACACAUUUUUAAUUUAAAUCGUGUGAAAGAAAAUCUCAUGGUGAUCUAAGAGAAUAAACUUAAAAAAGACAUUUGAGCUGGGGCCUGAAGGUUGAAUUGCCAUAUGUAUCUCACUGAAAUUUCCAAUUUCAUAUUAACAUUGUUGUAGAACCCAGUCCAGCCUCUGCACACAGGCUGUAAAAAAACAACAAAGAUUUAAUG